UGCUAAUUGCUUAUUAUAAUUAGUUAGCUCUGCCCAGUGACAAUGUUUUAACGGCCGCAGUACACUGACUGUGCAAAGGUAGCAUAAUCAUUUGGCUUUUAAAUGAAGUCGGGUAUGAAAGAGUUAAUGGGGGUGUGCUGUCUCAAUUUCUUUAACCUAAAAUUUACUAAGAAAGUGAAAAUACUUUCGAAAGCUAGCUAAAAGACGAGAAGACCCUAUAAAUUUAUACUAAUAAGUAAUUAUUUACUUUCCUUUUUUGUUGGGGCAACAAGUUAGCAGUGUAGAUUUUAAUCUAUCUUUACUUACUUAAAUAAAUAUAUCGUGUAUUACCAGUAAAAAUAAAAUUACUUUAGGGAUAACAGCAUAAUUUUUCUCUUAAGAUUGUGACCUCGAUGUUGGACUAGGGACUUAUUAAAUCAACCAUUUAAUAAGCAAGUUCUGUUCGAACUUUUUUUACCU
rnacentral:rRNA from 1 species